GCUGGGCAUGGUGGUGCGUACCUGUGGUCCCAGCUACUCAGGAGGCUGAGGCAGGAGGAUCUCUUGAGCCCAGGAGUUCAAGGCUGCAGUGAGCUAUGAUUAUGCCACUGCACUCCAGCCUGAGCAACAUGGUGAGACCUUGUCUCAA
rfam:Homo sapiens chromosome 16, GRCh38 reference primary assembly.